rnacentral:rRNA from 1 species
UACGAAGGGGGCUAGCGUUGUUCGGAAUUACUGGGCGUAAAGCGCACGUAGGCGGAUACUUAAGUCAGGGGUGAAAUCCCGGGGCUCAACCCCGGAACUGCCUUUGAUACUGGGUAUCUAGAGUAUGGAAGAGGUGAGUGGAAUUCCGAGUGUAGAGGUGAAAUUCGUAGAUAUUCGCAAGAACACCGGUGGCGAAGGCGGCCAACUGGACCAUUACUGACGCUGAGGCGCGAAAGCGUGGGGAGCAAACAGG